UAUCGCACGAUUAAUAAACAUGACCUCUGUGAUUUUUGGAGAGGCUAUAUUGCAAUAGUGUUUACAUGUAUGCUUGAUUGCAUAAAAAUGAACAUCAUUACCAUUUUAGCCGAUCACGAUCGCCUGGUCGUUUUUGUCUAAUACUGUCUGUCUCAGUAGCACGUGCAGCUCAAGGUCCAGAGAGUAUCAUGACAGGCUAAGAGAAAGCAUUGAUGGAGCUGUAAUUUAGUCUUUUUCUGAUGAAUUCACAUAGUUUAAAACAAAUUAACCUAACUGAAAUUGAUUUCAAAAGUAAUAUGCAUCUCCGGCAUAAAUGAUAUGUGAAGAGAGGAAAUUAAUGUAAACAAGCUCAGAUGUCUAUUUUGUAAAAAAUAAAUAAUUAAGUAGGUCAAAAUGUAAAGAAAUUGACAUUCCCUUUUAAGCAUGUGUUUAAAAAGGGAUAGUUGGAAAUUUAAAUUGAAAAUUUUCAUCAUUGUUUCAGUCAUUUACUCACACUCAUGAUGUUACAGAACUGCAUUUUUUUCUGAUAAACAUCAAGGAACAUUUGAGGAAUGUUUGUAACUAAACCGAUCAUGAGCCACAUUCACUUCUAUGGUAGGAAAAAAAGAAUACUAUGAAAGUGAGUUGGGUUCAUGAAUGAUUUGUUUACAAACAUGAGAGUAAGUUAAUGAUGACCAAAUUUUCAUUUUUGGUUGAAUUAUUACUUUAAAAUUGUGUAACACAGCAUAGCUGACUAAUUAUUUUUUGUUUGGUUUUUAUGUUAAAUGGUGAAUCAAUGGAAGCAGCACUGAGAAGACUUUCAGAACUCAUCUGAGAUGCCACGAGGAAAGGGUUUCCGUCGCUCCCAGGCGGCAAAAAGGUGGAUUGCUGACCGUUAUGCGGUCGGUUCCUCCAUGGACUUGGUUGAGGUUGUGCCACCUCUAAAUAAAGAGGCACCUCCCGACAGCUCUGUAACACAGAGCCCUGACACUGAGCAAAAUGAUGUUGUCAAAAGUGAUGCCAAAAGUUAUGUGGAAAAUGAUGUGGAAAAUGAUGUGGAAAAUGAUGUGGAAAAUCAUGUGGAAAAUCAUGUGAAAAAUCAUGUGGAAAAUCAUGUGGAAAAUCAUGUGGAAAAUGAUGUGAAAAGUGACUUUGAAAAUUGCCGUAAGGCUGCUGAAAAUGUUCCAAUGUGUACCAAAUCUCCUCCAAUGUGUACCAAAACUCUUCCAAGGUCUAAGAAAACGUACUGUGAUAUUGUGAAAACUUUGCAUGUCAAUAACUCUGAUCCAUUUCUUCUGAAAGUUAUACAAGGUUCCUUCCAUCAGGGUGAUGAGCGGUUUGGUUUCAACCGUAACAGACAGUGUGCAGUAAAUAGCAUCACAGCCAUAAUGAUGAGCGAGCUGAAGAAUGUGCUAACAUGGACGAGAGAGGACCUGAAUGCUGUUCUAAUGCAAGGAGAUGAGCUGUACACAUGUAUGCGACUGCAGGGGAAGAUCAAUGAUAACACGGGCCGGGGACAUGUUUCUGUUGCUGAAUUGCCAACCGUGCACACACUGCACAACACAAUAUUUUCAAUAAACCUUGCCGAAUCUUUCUCAGGUGUUAUUGGUGUUGAUCUAUAUGAUGAAGCUGUACAAGAUGUAUGCAUGCCCUUAGAUGAAGCGCUUCAGAGGACACUAUUAAAUGAUGAUGCAUGUUUGUUAAAUAUUAAAGACUAUA